rnacentral:rRNA from 1 species
UACAGAGACUGCAAGCGUUAUUCGGAUUCACUGGGCGUAAAGGGUGCGCAGGCGGCCGUGUGUGUGAGGCGUGAAAGCCCGGGGCUUAACCCCGGAAUUGCACCUCAAACUACAUGGCUAGAGCAUUGGAGAGGGUAGCGGAAUUCACGGUGUAGCAGUGAAAUGCGUAGAUAUCGUGAGGAACACCAGAGGCGAAGGCGGCUCUCUGGGACGGUACUGACGCUGAGACGCGAAAGCGUGGGGAGCGAACAGG